rnacentral:rRNA from 1 species
CCAGACUCCUACGGGAGGCAGCAGUGGGGAAUAUUGCACAAUGGGGGAAACCCUGAUGCAGCAACGCCGCGUGAGUGAAGAAGUAUUUCGGUAUGUAAAGCUCUAUCAGCAGGGAAGAAGAUGACGGUACCUGACCAAGAAGCCCCGGCUAACUACGUGCCAGCAGCCGCGGUAAUACGUAGGGGGCAAGCGUUAUCCGGAUUUACUGGGUGUAAAGGGGGCGCAGACGGCAGCGCAAGCCAGGAGUGAAAGCCCGGGGCCCAACCCCGGGACUGCUCUUGGAACUGCGCGGCUGGAGUGCAGGAGGGGCAGGCGGAAUUCCUAGUGUAGCGGUGAAAUGCGUAGAUAUUAGGAGGAACACCAGUGGCGAAGGCGGCCUGCUGGACGAUGACUGACGUUGAGGCUCGAAAGCGUGGGGAGCAAACAGGAUUAGAUACCCCAGUAGC